rnacentral:rRNA from 1 species
AAAAAAAUUUUUAUAGUUUUAAUAUUUUAUUUUAAAUAUAAUUUACAUACAAAUUUUAGUGUUAAAUAUUAAUUAUUUUAAAAAUAAAUAAUAUGAUAAAGUAGUAAUUAACUUUAAAUUAUUUAAGAAAUUAAGAUUUAGUAAUUUGAAAAUAAAUAACUAAUUUUGUGCCAGCAGUUGCGGUUAUACAAAAAUUUAAUUAAAAUUUUUCAGUAAAUAAUAAAUAAUAAAAUUAUAAUUAAAUUAAAAAUUAAAUUAUUAAGUGA